CAGUGGGGGAAGGACCCACUCGAACAAUUGAUGGUUCGAUUCGAUAGCUGGCGAGCGGCUAGUAGGGGUAACGGUGCUGGUCGAAACCUCGCGACAAAGUCCACGCAUGGUGGGCGAGCAAUCUGGCAGGCCGUAACGCGC
rnacentral:ncRNA from 1 species